AUUGUUUCCCACUGCUACACUGAAAUAAAAUCUUUAUUCGUUUUAGUAAAAUCUUGCACAAUUGAAGUGUUAAAUCUGAUAUGCAUGAAUCCAAUAUAGUAAUCUUACAAAUACAUCAGCCAUUCAAAAGAUAGAAAUACUAAAGUGUAAUCAAGAUAAGGAGGAUAAGUUAGAAGAAGACAAUGACUUAAAAUUGUGAUUCAAAUGUUUCUUCAAGCUUAACUGCAAGCACUUUUAUACACAAAGCAUCGAUCACUAUGUUUUCUUUUCCAAUACAACUUUUUCAUAACACCCGUGCAUUCCCAAGCAAAAGCUCUUUAAGUUUUUUUUUAUAAUAUCCUAUUUCAAAGUUCUUUAGAGACAAGUAAAUGAAAUCCAAUUGUAUUCUUAGAGUAAUACAUAAAAAUAGAUGUCAUUUCUACUAAAACUGAAAUUAUUUAACUAUAAGAACAUCUUUAAGAAAAAUCACUUAGAUUUUUGAACUAGCCUUCACUCCCUUGGACCUUUGACAAUGUUUGGUUCAUGGAAUAGCCAAGGUAACUAUUUUAAGAUCUUGUUCAAACAAAGAAAAGUUAUAUCAUGAAAUUUUUAUUAUUUAAUUUUGCAGAAUACCUAUCCCAUAGUAAACUGAAGAAUGACUAUUCUGCACCUUAAGAACUAGCAUCCUUAAGUACCUAUCCUAAAUUCACUUGAUGUCAUCUUAUUUUAUCCACCAUCACCCCCCGCCACCAACUACCGCUGCCGAUACCAACUGCCACCGCCUCCAAACCAACCACUACCACCACCACCACCAGACACACACACACACACACACACACACAUAUAUAUAAUAUUUAGUUACAAUAUUAUCUACAAAUAGUCAAUCCAAGCCCAUGAAUCAAAAGAGAGAAAUAAGAAUUGUCUGGGAAUAGCUAUUUUAUUCCUAUUUAUUCUAUUCAUUGGGAAUUGUUAUUCUAUUCCAUGAAUCAAAGAUGUACUAUAAGUUGGAAGAAUUCCAGGCCUAACUUAUCUAUUCAGCUCCUAUUUUAUAAUUUUUCCUCUUGAAGAGCAAUACAUGAGCUAUAAAAAAUAUACAAAAAAGAAAAUGAAUCGUAAGUUUCACUAAUAUGAGAAUUGGACAAAAUUUCUGGAGUAAGAAGCAAACAUAAAGAGUCGAAAUAAAUUACAUACUAAAAAUAUUCAAAUAGAAUACGUACAUGGCCAAAUGCGUGUACAUCUGAUAUUCUCAGUGCCAUGUGAAACUAAAACAACCUCACAGCAGCAUGAGUUGGACAUUCCUAUAACAGCACAAUAUGUCAACAAAACCUGCAAAGGAGAAACCACAGCAAUCAGGCCAAAUUUUUUGAGCUCUGCGAAGGAUAAUUUCAAACAGCUUCCUGCUCUUGUGCUUAUCAAUUCUAAGAAAAAGCUAGAGUUGUGAACUUCAAUUCCUUGUGCUAGCGAAGAGUGAGUGCUGUGUAGAGAUUGUGGAAGCGACAAAGGUAAGAGUUUCUCGCUUCCGGCUUCGACAGGCGGGAGAGCUAUUAGAGUAAAGCCCAAAAACCCUUUCCUUGCGGCCCUGCCCAACUCAUUUUGAAAAAUAUCAGGAUUCGAGAACUAAACUUCAAUUCAAUUUAGAGCAAAUUAUUGAGA
rnacentral:lncRNA from 1 species